UCCCCUAUAUUCCUUUCUAACAUUGCCACAAUCUGAUUCCCAUGGCCUCAUAUAUAUACAUGCAUAUUAAGCACUAAUUUGUCUCAUGUCUGACAAACCCAUGGAGCUAAUGAUGAUGAUGGUCAUCAAGAAGCACCCAAUGAUCCUCCUAGCUCUUAUCAUGUCCAUCCAACAUGAUUCUAAAGCCAAUGGCGCCUCAGUAACAAUAACAAGAGACUGGCGCUAUUACCAAUCAUACCUCGCGAAUCCCCCGUACAAAUACCAGAUCGGAGUAGGCGGGUCUCCAUCUCCAGCUCCGGCUCCGGCACCGCCGCCCUACUGCGCGUACCCUCCGCCGCCGCCGCCUCCAGCGAGCCCCCGCGGCGCGGCACCUCGUCAGCCGGCGAGGACCCAGGGUUUGUGGUGCGUGGCGAACCCGACGGUGGAGAGCGAGGAGGUGCAGGCGGCGAUGGACUACGCGUGCGGGUCGGGCGCCGACUGCGACGCGGCGGCACCCGGAGGGCCCUGCUUCCUGCCGGACACGCUCAUGGCGCACGCCUCCCACGCCUUCAACAGCUACUGGCAGCGCGCCAAGGUCGCCGGCGGCACCUGCGACUUCGCGGGCGCCGCCAUGCUCAUCACCAGAGACCCCAGUUACGAUGACUGCCGAUACGUGUUUAUGUGAUCGGGGCAAAUCGGUCUGAAAGACCUUUUUGUGCCGUUGAAUUUCCGAAAUUUAAUUAUAAAUGUAGCAGCAUGUGUCUAAAUCAUUUUUUGCAAAUGAUAAAACAAAUGGUUUUGCUUGGGCUCCGUCGCUUGAGAUUGUGUUUUUCUCUGUCGACGCCUUCUCGACCGUACGAUCAUCUUUGAAAUUGUGUUUUUUUUCGUUGACGAAGGCGUACGAUCAUUACUUUGGACGCACAGGAUCGGUUGAGUGAGAUUUGUGUUUCUCAGUGCCAUAGGCACCCUAAAACAAAUGGUUUUAUUUUGGGUUUGUUCCAAACUGUACUACGGCUUUCAAUACAGGAAGCCGUUUCCAGAAAUCGCAGCGUGUGCGAAAGAGCUCACAAACAAACGGGGGCCUGAAAUCCAACGAGCCAGCAAAACCGUGGACCACUUACCAGCAACACCGGCCGCCGGUAUUCCGCAUAGUAUAUCUUCACUCGCCGCUGCCAUUAGGACUUCGGGAGAAUCGAGAGCAAAUCGGGGGCGAGCGAGCGAGCAAGAGAGAUACUCCAGAUCGCAGCAGGUGGCCGCCGCCUCGACACACGCGGCUCCGCCCCAAGCCCCCAACGCCUCCCCCUCCCGCCGUCUGUUGGUCUCCCCGUCGCAGCAUUUCUCCGGGCCCUAUUCCCCAAUCGAUAAUAGUGUAUACCAGAGGCUCUAGUCCAGAUCAUCAUCAAACAUGUCGCUCCUUUCAAAAUUACGCUUAGUCACCGUGGAUGUGACUGGUACUCUGAUCGCUUACAAAGGACGGCUUGGCGAUUACUACUGUAUGGCUGCUAAGUCUGCUGGAAAGCCGUGCCCUGACUAUAACCGAAUGCACGAAGGCUUCAAGCUUGCAUACACUGAGAUGGCAAGAAAAUACCCAUGCUUUGGAUUUGCUGCAAAGAUGCCAACAAUCGAAUGGUGGAGGAUGUGUGUCAAGGAUUCGUUCGUUAAGGCUGGCUAUGAUUAUGAUGACGAGACAUUUGAGAAAAUCUUCAAACGUAUUUAUUCUGCUUUUGGCUCCUCUGCGCCAUACUCGGUGUUUCCUGAUGCACAACCCUUCCUGAGGGGGCUUAGGGAAAAGGGAAUCACAGUUGGGAUUGUGAGCAAUGCAGAGUAUCGUUACAAAGAGGUCAUCUUACCUGCUUUAGGGCUAAAUCAGUUUUGCAAUUAGGGCUCGGAAUGGGACUUUGGGGUGUUCUCGGGCAUUGUUGGUGUCGAGAAGCCUGACCCAGCAAUCUACAAGAUCGCGCUGGAAAUGGCAGGGAACGUCGCACCAGAAGAAGCGCUUCACAUAGGUGACAGCAUGCGCAAGGACUAUGUCCCUGCACGGAGCAUCGGGAUGCAUGGCUUGCUUUUGGACCGAUUCAAGACCGCCGAUGCCGAGAGCUGGAAGCAGUCUGGUGCGCCUGUGCUUCCCGACCUGGUAGCUGCUGAAGCAUGGCUUGCCCAGAAUCAGAAGGCAGAAACUGAAGAGGAGCCUCUAGCGGCUUCCCUGCUGCGACGGAUGUCAGAAAAGCUUUGAGUUUUGGCCUUUCAGAUGGUCCCUUUUGUGCCCUUGCUAUGAAAUGGGUGAGCCAAAGAAACAGGUUAUGUUGUACUAAUGGGAGGAGAAAGGCGGUGGUUCUUGGCUGGUGUAAUUAGCCGGAGCUGCUCACUGGCUGUAGCCUUUAGUUCUAUCGCCGAUUGCUGAAUAUGGCAAGCAAUUUAGCGUGCCAUGAAUCCUGUUUUGACAAAUAAUAAUUCUAAUUAUGUUCAGCAUUCAUCGUCUAUGAAAUACCACCUCCGUUCAUGAA